AAAAAGGCUCUGGUAGGCUCCUGUCCUAAGCUUCCCUGAUACCCUCUAAGCCCUUCCAUCUGUAUGUUCAUGAGAUAAAGGGUAUUGCAAAGGGAGUGCUUACCCAAAAUCUAGGGCUAUAGAAAAGAUCAAUUUCCUAAAUUUCAAAAAGGCUUGAUCUGGUAGCAUCAGGGUGGCCUCCUUGUUUAAGAGCCAGAGUGGCUACUGCACUCCUAAUAACGGACACAGACAAACUAACUCUGGGGCAGACUCUUACUGUGACUGUUCCACACACAGAGGAAGAUCUAUUGAGGGAUGCCACAAAUCAUUGGAUGUCAAAUGCCCGCAUCACUUAAUAACAGGCUUUCCUCCUAGACAAGGACAGAUUAACAUUCAAUAAAUCCAUGGCAGUCAAUUCAACAACCCUGCUGCCAGACAACAACCUGUAGGAGCCAAUUCAUGACCGCUCAUAGAUGCUGGAUGUCAUCCAAUGUACUUGACUAGACCUGACUGAAAUUCUUCUCAGUGUCAGAGAUGCAGACCUUUACACUGCUGGCAGCAAUUACAUCUGAGAUGGAAUGAGGUAUGUGGGAGUAGCAGUAGAUAUGGGCCAAAAAGAAGUUAUUUGGGCACAGGGUUUGCCCAGGGGCUCAUCAACCCAAAAAGCAGAAAUCAUUGCUAUCACACAGGCAUUGAGAUGAGCACAAGAAAAACAGGUGAAUAUUUACCCAAACAGCCACUAUGUUUUUGCUACAGCACAUGUGCAGGGACAGAUAUAUAAACAAAGGGGACUUUUAACUUCAUGUGGUAAGACCAUUGAAAAUAAACAAGAAAUUCUUCAAUUACUGGAGGCUAUCUAUCUGGUUGCCAGAUAAUUAUCCACUGGCCUGGACACUGCAAAGAUGAUAGUCCCCAGACUCAGGGUAACAACUUGGCUGAUCAAACAGCCAGGGAAAUAGCCCUUGGAGAUCUGAGACACCAAACUAUCCAACAACUCUCCAAUUAUCCAAAAUUUUCAGUUAAAAUUGGGGAGGAGGCCUCUUCACACACUACAGAAAAAAAUAAACUUAUCUUCUCAUUGGGUGCCCAACAAAACUGUCAUGGCUGGUGGAACCUCCCAAAUGGAAAAAUCUGCAUAUCUAAGCUACUAGGGAGAAAGUGGUUAACUGAUCUUCAUCCAGCCAUGCAUUUAUCACCCAAGAAGAUGUCAUAAUUAAUCUCAUCCUAUGUUUGGCUUCGGGGACAUCGAAGGAUGUUUCAAGAUAUCUCAAAUUGUUGCAUGACAUGUGCACAGGUAAAUGCUAGAAGGAUCAACUUCCACAAGGAAACAGGAGUUAAGAUUCUGUACCUGGUAAAUUUUGGGAAUUAGGCUUUACUGAAAUUAAACUUGGACUAUAUGAAUAUAAAUACUUGUUAGUCUUUGUUGAAACUGUCUCUGGCUGGGCAGAAGCUUUUCCAAUCUGGAUGGAAAUGGCAC
rnacentral:lncRNA from 1 species